CACGUAUUUAGCCGUCACUUCUUCUGUUGGUACCGUCAUUUCUUUCUUCCCAACUGAAAGCACUUUACAUUCCGAAAAACUUCAUCGUGCACACAGAAUUGCUGGAUCAGACUCUCGGUCCAUUGUCCAAUAUUCCCCACUGCUGCCUCCCGUAGGAGUAAGGGCCGUGUCUCAGUCCCCUUGUCGGCCGUUCACCCUCUCAGGCCGGCUACCCAUCAUCGCCUUGGUGAGCUGUUACCUCUCCAACUAGCUAAUGGGACGCAAGGCUCUCUCACAGUGCUUAUAGCUUUACAUUAAUUCUAAGUAUGACCUUAAAAUCAUAAUAUCAAGGUAUUAGCUAAUUCAUUUACUAAAUUGUUCGUCCUAGUCUGGUGAGCUAAGUUCUUACGCGUUACUCCACCCGUCCGCCUAACCAAAUACUAAACGUUAAAAACCC
rnacentral:rRNA from 1 species